CAAAAACGGUUACAUAGUUUGAAAGAACAAAUGAAUAGAAAGAAAGGAAAACAACUUAUCAGUAACUAGUUAAUAAGUAAAGAUUAAUGUUAAGUGCAUGGUUAGAAUAGUUAAGGUUAAUAUUACAUAACUAAAAUAACUCAAGAGGGGUAGAUCUAAUAUUAGCAUUAAGGACAGGGUUAAGUUGAGAUAUUAAUAGGCUUUCACGGAUAAGAAGAUCCCACUCAGAAGUGCCUGAUGAUAGGAUUUUGAAAUCAGAAGCGGAGACUGG